rnacentral:lncRNA from 1 species
ACGGAGGGCUGCUGUCACCUGUCAUCACUGCUGGACAGAUGAUUUCAACACAGACAUUACAAGUGGUCCAGCCUCUUCAUAAGCCUGCACUAAAGACACUGAAGCUUGUGAUCACCCGUGUCAGGACAAGGAAUGGCAUCUCCCUAACAGGACUCAAGAGCCUUUGCCAUUAUCUGUGGUAUUAAGCAGGUUUCAAUUAGGAUUUUAGGUGGAUUUUUUUCUUUGUUCCGCAGAAGUUUUAAUCAAGGCAGAAAAACUCUGACGCCUCAUUCUCCUCACAACAGUCAGUCACCAAAGCGUUGCAUUUUUCUUCCUGAAGCUUCCCCUCCCUCGGGCACAUUUUUAGCAAAAAAGAUGAGAUCCCAAGCUCUCCAGAUGUUGCCUCUCAGAUGUGCCUCAGCACGCAUCUCAGAGCCAUCUGGCCGCAGCAACAGCUGGACUGCUUCCAAGUGGAAGUGCUCACAGAACAACCAUGCGUCAGGCACUGGCUAUACGGACUGAGAAGCUGAAAACUGAUCAGAGUCAAGCUGAGCCUAUUGACCGCUUUCCAUGUCCACAGAGAUAAACACGAACAAACCUAAGAUAAAACCCCACUGAGUGCACUUCCCUGGGACCAUUUCGAGAGCUUCCGACCUCUGGGAACACAUAUGUGAGCCAGCAGGAUGGCCACAUCACCCACAGGGCAGUGUAGAGGUGGAUGCCAAACGCAGAGAAACUGAGUCAUAAAUGCCUGUAACUCUUCCUGUGGGUGUGAGGAUCCUAUCUCUCAACCCAGCUUGAAUGGGAUUUGUUUCUGCAACUGGAAUAAUCUUAAAUUAUCCAUUCUGACACCAGAGACUCAGCACUUUCAGGUAAGGUCAAUGCUAUUCUUGGUAUAAAAGAGGAUUUUAUUGCAUUUGCAUGCGUUGUCAUUGUUUCCAUGCAGUCGCUAGCAUCCA